GUUUAAUUUCAGAUCCCGUGUAACACGUGUAGCACUGGUGAAACAUGUGACUUGGAAAGCGGUACUUGUAAAUUUAAAGACUGUUCUAAUGUAGAGAAUCCAGAAAAUGGAACAAUACUUGGAAAUGUGAACAAGAUUGGUGCGGUAUGGCGGCAAAACUGUAACACGGGGUAUCAUCUUGAGGCGGGUAGCGAUACGCUUAUAUGUGACACCGACGGGUAUUGGAAUUCAACGCAAUGUAUAAGAGAUUGUGUACCAUUGUCUAAAUACACAGGAAAUCUUAGUGUCACGACACUUGGGUAUCAAUGUCAAAGAUGGGAAUUGAACUUCCCACAUAAGCAUAAAUACAACACCUCGGAAUAUUUCCCAGAUGGAUCCAUACUUCAAGCUGAAAACUAUUGCCGGGCUGUUGACUAUAGUUCCCUUUGGUGUUAAACAACCGAUGCAUUGAAAAGAUGGGAUACUUGCGACAGUCCGGAUGAAAUAUGUUAACAAUAUCAGUAGUACAUAUAGGAUACUUGCGACAGUCCCGAUGAAAUAUGUUAACAAUAUCAGUAGUACAGAUAGGAUACUUGCGACAAUCCGGAUGAAAUAUGUUAAUCAAUAUCUGUAGUACAGUCGGGAUACUUGCGACAGUCCCGAAGAAAUAUGUUAAC